rnacentral:piRNA from 1 species
CACAAUUGCAGAAACCACACAUCUGCAGCUGG